ACAUGUCUUGAAUACCAACCCUACAUAAUCCUCUUUCUUUCAAUCAAGUGUGGUGAAGGGGAAAAAAUACAAACAUGCAGAACCUAAGUGUCCCAAAGUGAGGAGGGAGUCUGACCCCCAAACAGUAAUUUCACAUCAGAACCAGACUCGGUCCCCACAGCUCACGUGUUAGCAGGCACUCAGCACUACACACUCAUAAACUCACUGUGCGGUUAGUAGUGCUAAUGCAUAUAGAUAAAUCUACUUGGUCACCUAAAGUUUUUAAAUUAACAGUGCAACUCUAUAAAAUAAGCUACAAUGGAAUAUUUACACAUAAGUAACCUAAUAGAGAAGGUCUAGAAAGUUAAAUUAUUUUAUUUAAGGAACAAAAAGUAAGAUUUAUAUAUCCCCUUAAAAAUGUAAGAAGGGAUUUGAAUCCAAUACAUUUCCAACAUAAAAGAAUGUACUUAAAUCAUCUAUCAGCCUCUGAUAUUGCAACUAAGUCUUGUCACAAAAUGCUCCACCUUAGCCUUUCCUGGUGCAGACUACUGAGCAGCACCAGCAACUGCUCUCUCUCCCCCUCACCGUUUUCACCCUCAAUAUCAAUACUGAUGACCAGGAAUAAUAGAUACAAGUUCAGUAACUCGAUAAUUUUCUCUCUCCCUUGUCCAACAACAGCAUACAUAAAAUACCAACCGGAUAAAAAGAUCAAAAUAUAAAGCAAGAAAAACUUGUUUGAAAAAUUUCAUAGGCUGUAACUCAGAAAUAGGACAUUUGCCUGGACUCACAAAUCCCUGGAUUCUAACCCCAGCACUCUAAAAAAAAAAAAAAAAUCAUAAAUGG
rnacentral:lncRNA from 1 species